CGCCGUUGUCCAUCUCCUCCAUUACGUGCACGUGUGCCUCUACUGAUCGGGCCCACCUUCGCGCACGCAGCACACUCACCACCGCACAUAGCCGAAAGCGCGCGUGUGCUGACUGAGGGCUCAUCUGCAAACGCACACGCCAUCAAGCAGCAAUCCAAUAUCAAGGCGUUCACGCUCGAGUCGACUGCCCGGAUCGAGCGCGCCAUCUACCGCUGCGCGCACACGCACGCAUCUUCCGUGUUGUGCCAUUGGAGAGCGUGCGAGAGAAGAGAGGCGAAGUGCUGCCGCGAUGCCGUCCUUCAAGGCGGAGAACAUCAUCCGCGACAGGCUGGAUGCAGCAGAGUUGUCGCUUUCCGGCAUGCGCUUGACUUCGCUCGAUGCUUUGGUGCCUCUCCUGGCGAAGAUGCCGCGCUUGCGUUGCCUGAACGUGUCGCACAACGAACUCCGUGACCUCCCAAUGGACCUGUCAUCACUGACCAAGCUGGAAGCACUCGACCUCAGCUCCAACCCUCUUGGGGGCGUUCACCGCAUUCUGGACGGUCUGCAGUCGCUGCCGCGGCUCACCUCCCUCUCCGUGACCCUUCCAGCACCGGCGGCGGAGGCGGAGGAGCAGCUGAUCAUGCGGCUUCCCGCCCUCACCUGCUUAAAUGGCACCGCCCUUGCUGAUCCGAGAGAGGAAGUUGAGGAGGGCGGCGCUGUCAACCGUGACAUCGAUGCUGCCGUUGAGAUGGCGUCGGCGGACCGCGCGUACUGGAAGCCGACGGACUCGGCAGGCAUCGAGAGCCUCUUCGCCGAUGUCAGCCGCCAAGAUGCCUCCACGACGCAGGAGUUCUUUGAUUACAUGAACCGCGUCGUGCAGCACGUCACGUGUUUGACGGCGGCGGAGGACGACGCGUUCGCGCAGGAGGGCGAAGUGCUCAAGGCGCGGCGCCUCCUCUACGAGUUCUGCUUCGGUGAUGUCAUACGGAGCGCAUUCAAGGAUGGUCACGACGUUCUCGGCCGACAGCUGCAGACGCUGCUGCGCUACGAGUCGGCCAUGAUGGAUCAGUACGACAUGCACUGGCGCCGUAUACUGCAAGAUCGUGAUAGCAGGCUGGCGCACAUGAAGCGGGACAUGCAGGACGCGAUGGAAGACAUCCGCUCCCUUAUCGAGUGCUUCCCAGAAAGUGCGGCACAGGGUCCGUCGAUCGAAGGGGAAAACUCGCGGCGCGAGAGGGAGGAGGCACCGCAUGGCGCUGGUUCGGGUGUGCGCGCGUCGCUUGGAGCGACCCCACUGACGCGCACGGGGCACACCACCCACAUGGACGCGAGCCGGAUAGGCGCCUCUCCGCAGCCACUGCCGCCGGCUGGGCUCACGCGGCGAUCUCAGCGGCCGUCUUCAGAGCCCAAAGCGCGGAGGUCGAGCUUCACGAAGGUGCUGUCGCUUCGGCAGCUGAAGGAAAUCAUCGAAGACAUCUACACCUCCAAGGUCAAGUACGACGACAGGUGCAAGCAGAACCAGUUGCCGCGCGAAACGCUGGAGCAGCACAUGUACACCUGCCUGAACCAAAAGUAUGGGCUGCGGGAUAUUAUCCUCGAGUGGGCCACCGCCAUCGUGGAGGCCGUGAGGCGCUACGCGCCGGAGGACAACGACGUAGCCGUGUUUGGCAAGAUAUUGCGCAACGAGAUCGAUGAGGAGUUCCGCUUCGUCCAGCAGCACGUGCGCCAGACGGUGAAGGAGUUGCUGCGCAAGCACAUCCAGGCGAAGCGGCCGCUCAGCGGUGUGGUGGAGCUGAGCAACGCACUUCAGCAGGUGAUGCGCGGCACGGUGGCAGAGGGCGCGUGGAGGGAGGUGGUCAACUACAUGUACAACGCGGCCGACUCUGCCCUCAUCACGGCCAUCAUCCAUGAGUACCUCCGCCGCCGGUCCCUGCCAAAGCUGCAGCGAGGCAACAAGGAUGAUGUGAGGCUGUCGCCGACGGCGGCGCACUCGCAGCUGCCGUGCAAGGACUUUGUGCGGCUGCUUCUAGACUUCCAGCUGGACGGGCACGUGCGCUUCUUGGAGCCUUACGUGAAGAUAUUCCGGCGGCACGACAAAGACCAGAACGGCAUUGUGAACAGAUUCGAGUUCGCUUCCAUCGUGCGUGAGCUGGACCCGAGCAAGUCGGAGGAGGCAGUGGAGUCCAUGGUGGAGCAGAUCGAUCCACACGGGAGCCAGCUGAUAACCUUCUCUGAGAGCAUCACCUUCCUGAACGACGAACUGCUCAAGCUGUCCAAUGCCCAGGACGGCACCCACGAGUAGGAGACAUGCCCGAUAUGCACGUGCAUAUGCGCGUAUGGUGAGCACCUCCUCCGAUCUCUCCUUCCUUCCCUGUCUUCCUCGUCUCUCUUUGUCUCCUCUCCCAACUCUGUACCGGCUUGUACGACGACGGCUGCAUCACGCGCCAAUGUGAUAAAGCGAGAGGCGUGCACAUGGGGUUGCUCCCGCGCACUUCCGUGCGCAACAACCGUGGAAGCCAGAUGACUACUUAAGUGGCAGCACACGCGCGCAUGCGUGUUGAUGUGUAGCGGCGAGGCGGGGAUGCAAGGGGGAGGGGGCGGGUGAGGCUCGCUGCGCAGGAUCUACCUCCCCCCUCCCCCAAGCCCCGCGCCUCUCUAGCGCCGUCGUUCUCCCAACACGAGAAGAGCGACGUCUCCAUGUCGGUGUGUCUGGGCUGUGCAGGCGAUGAGGCGCACUCGGUGCUGCCAGCGCGUGGCUACCGCACCCGCAGCAACGGUGCUACUGCUCCUCUUGCCUCUUUCUCCCUCCCCUCUCACUCUCUCUACCGCUCACCUGCGAUGUUGUCUAUUCCUUUUCUCUGCCCGCUUCACGCGGCCGUGCCGUGGCACCGCCGUUGGUGCACUGGCACUCACCUCUUUUUGCCUCGCACAUUCU
rnacentral:misc_RNA from 1 species